AGGUUCUCUUUUCAGAGAAUUUUUGGCCACAAACUGAGCAGGAAAAAGGUUUCUCGCCAGUGUGGGUUCUUGUGUGGUUAAUUAGGCUUCCCUUAUGAGAAUCUUUGGCCACAAUCUGAACAGGCAAAAGGUUUCUCGCCAGUGGGGUUUCUUGUGUGGUUAAUUAGGCUUCCCUUAUAAGAAUCUUUGGCCACAAUCUGAACAGG